AGGAAAAUUGGCCCCAGCACAGGCUAUAAAGUGCAUCUUCACAACAGUGUCCACAGCUGCUGGAGGUGGUUGCUGGCCUGAAUACCGACCAAGGCAGUUAUGGCUGUGGAGUCCUGAUUUGUUCUUCUGAGAGCAGGCAUAAACUAGCAAGCUGUGGGAAAAUAUGUCCAGUUUCAAGCUGUCUGCAAUCAGCAUCUCAUCUUGAGAGAAAAUCCAGGGUUUGGAAGACAAAUAAUUACCUGUGAUUCAUCUUUGUGAUUUCAAUAGGCCAAAAUUACACCCAAGGAUGAAAACCCUGUUAAGAACUAGGGUGCUUGAGACUAGGAUCUAUAUUUUGCACUGUGAGUUCCACUUUGACAUUUAAAAUAUUUUUACAUUGGCUUAUCUGAGUGAGAUAGUAAGUCCCUCAGAGAAGUAAAAUGAUAAUUUGGUUUAACUUUUUA